rnacentral:tRNA from 1 species
GGCACCGUGGUGUAGGUGGUUAACGCAUCGGCGUAUAUUGCCGAAGACGCCGGUUCGAGUCCAGUUGGUAUCG